rnacentral:rRNA from 1 species
CAGCAGCCGCGGGAAUACGUAGGGUGCGAGCGUUGUCCGGAAUUACUGGGCGUAAAGAGCUCGUAGGCGGUUUGUCGCGUCGUCUGUGAAAUUCUGCAGCUUAACUGUAGGCGUGCAGGCGAUACGGGCAGACUUGAGUACUACAGGGGAGACUGGAAUUCCUGGUGUAGCGGUGAAAUGCGCAGAUAUCAGGAGGAACACCGGUGGCGAAGGCGGGUCUCUGGGUAGUAACUGACGCUGAGGAGCGAAAGCGUGGGUAGCGAACAGGAUUAGAUACCCCUGUAGUCCCUGUCUCUUAUAC